UGAUUCCAAGAAUCGACUUACAGGCGAUGUCUGAAAAAUUUGUAAAGUCUUUAUUCUAUCUAUUGACACCCUUACAAAUUUCUGCAUUUUAACUUUACUUUUUGAAAAAGAUUGCUGAUAUAGAAAUACUUGCUUUCACUCCAAGAUAUAGAUAUAUUUAAUUCUGAAGCUAGUGAUGUUGAUAUCUAUCUUAUCUAUUUGUCGAGAUUUCAUUUUGUUCCUAAAAAUGUUUCUAGGAUUAAAGAUAAAAGGUUUCUUUUUAGGAUUUUAAUGAUAUAUAGAACUCCACUUUAUUGCUUGAACUUAUUAGGUUCUAUCUGAAAUCAUUAAUUCUACUUGUAGUCUUUCUUAAGCUGCUAAUAUUAAAUACACUUUAAUGCUUGAAACAAUUCUUAUAUAUGGGCUAAGGGAGAAGAUUGUUACUUUUUAGAGAUGGUACUUUUUAAUUUGAAUAUUCUAAGGGUUGUGUUUUAGUCCAGAAAAAUGAACUUCUGCCAUUGGGCCAACCUUACACAAAAUAAUAAACAACUAUACCUAAAUCAAUUCAUUUUUAUGAACUUUUUAGUAGCAGUUUUGCUUUUAUUUUCAUCCGGUUUAUGCAUUUUAUCAUUUGGCUAAUUUAGUUUUAUUUGAUAUGUGUAAUUUUUUUUACAUUUUAUACAUGGUGGAGGAGCUCCGUCGAAGAAAGAAACACCAGUGUCAGGAACUAGUGCAAGAAAAACUAAUACUCCAGCACCAAGAUUGAUAAGCGCUAUUGAAAUGGAGUAAAAUGUAUAUAAACUUCUUUAUAGAGCAAAGUUUUUUAUUGCGAAGUUCAUCGGAUUUUGUUGAAGAAUUGAUUUUGGAGUAGUAGUUGGCACUGAGAAAGAUGAUCGUAUCAAUUUAUAUGGUUUGGAAAUAUUAUUGUUUGUUCUCGUAGUCAACUAUUCACUCAUUCUUCUUGUUACAGAUUUUGAAGGAUGGAUCUGUAGGACCAAUUGGGAUGACUCUUGAUGCAAGUCAAUUGAAAUGUAAAUUUUUGAAAAUUCACAGCAUUAAAAAGACUUUGUUGGUGAAGGACAUUGUUUGAGUUGUAGAUGGUUCAUUACAGGGAAGACAAGAGAUUGUGAAGUUGAUAUAUAGAGGAACUGUGUAUAUAUAUGAUGAAAAUGAACUUGAAAAUAGUGGUUAUAUCGGCUGCAAAUCUCAUUUGUGUGGAAAGCUACAAAUCUCUGAUGGAAAGGGUG